CCUGCCCCAAGAGGCACUGCAUUGUGACUGCUGUGUUCUAUGUGCCUCAGUAGGUGACAAACAGGAGAGAAGUUAUAUUUAUGUUCAGUGAUCAACAGAUGAACAUCUGAAUAUUUAGUAGCCUACCAUU